rnacentral:lncRNA from 1 species
GUGGAAGAGAAAUCAAAACAAAGUAUACAAGUAUUUCUUCUGAUAAUUCCACCAUAAGUGCUUUGAGCUUUGCAUGCACUUGUGACAUCUUUAUUAUGUGCUCUCUAAUGUUUCCAUUUCUCUUAUACCUCAUGGAAACAAGAGUCGACAGAAGUGUACAUGCCUCAGCCUUAUCACUUAUGGCGAAACGUUGUUCUAGAGAAUGAAGAAAAUCUUUAGUUGUUGUGAUCUCAUUGGACAUAGUGCCUCAAAAAACCUCUGGAAUGGCUUAUUCCAUAACCAACAU